AGGGACAGGAGCACACACCAUGAUUACACACAUCCAGCUGAUCUGGCCCCUGGCAUUCUGUGUCGCAGGUAUCAAUGGGGAGAUUAUCAUGACCCAGUCUCCCCCGGUGCUGUCAGUGGAACUGGGCCAGACUGCAACCAUCACCUGUACGGCCAGUCAAAGCAUUAGCAGCUACCUCAGUUGGUACCAGCAGCGAGAAGGUCAGAAACCCUCUCUCCUGAUCUAUGCUGCAACAUCUCGAUUCACAGGAGUCUCCGAGCGAUUCACCGGCAGUGGAUCAGGGACCAGUUACACCCUGACAAUCAGCAACGUUCAGAGUGAGGAUGUCGCUGACUAUUACUGUCAGCAGGAUUACAGCUGGUAUAGCAGCUCCGCUCAACACAGUGAUACAGAGCCAUACCAAAACCUCAAGACACACAGCACCACCUCAUGCACUGACACAUCAAUCAGUUAUAUAAAAUGUAUAAUAAUGGACACACAGUCCCACAGCCUGAACUGACACAUCCACAAUUAGAUACAAAUGAAACUGAACAAAUUACCCCAUGCUGGGAUUGUAACUGUCCAUGACACACUCCAGUCCCUGUGGUGUCCACCGCUCACUGAAGGCCUCAAGUUUCCCUCUGACACUCCAUGACCACGCGUGAAGAACAGCUGCAAGAUUUAAUAUCGAAAAAUAAAUUUCACAAAGCUCCCAAGCCCAGCUGGACACAGAGAGAGAUGGAGACAGAAAGACACAUGAAUGAGGGAGAGACAGAGAGGGGCAGAAAGAAGUUGAGAGUGAACGAGAGACUGGGAGACAGGGAGAGGUUGAGAGUGAUGGGGGGGAAGCAGAGAGCAGAGGUUUUUGUACAGCCUCUGCACUGGGAACUCUCACUGUGGGACACGUUCGGUAA